CUCCGAGAAAAUCUUCUAAGCAUAUUGAUACGGUACCCGUACCGCAAACCGACACAGGUAGUCAAGGAGAGAAUCCUGAGGUGCUCGAGUGAGUCAUGGCUAAGGAACUAGGCAAAUUAAACCUGUGACUUCGGGAAAAGGGUUGCCUCUCUUUAGCAAUAAAGAAGGUCGCAGAGAAAUGGCCCAGGCGACUGUUUAACAAAAACACAUGGCUAUGCGAAAUCGUAAGAUGAAGUAUAUGGCCUGACACCUGCCCGGUGCUGGAAGGUUAAGGGGGGAAGUUAGUCGCAAGGCGAAGCUUUGAACUGAAGCCCCAGUAAACGGCGGCCGUAGCUAUAACGGUCCUAAGGUAGCGAAAUUCCUUGUCGGGUAAGUUCCGACCUGCACGAAUGGUGUAACGAUCUGGGCACUGUCUCAGCCAUGAGCUCGGUGAAAUUGUAGUCACGGUGAAGAUGCCGUGUACCCGUCACGGGACGGAAAGACCCCAUGCACCUUUACUAUAGCUUCGCAUUGACAUUGGGUAGAUGAUGUGUAGGAUAGGUGGGAGGCGUUGAUCCUGUGCCGCUAGGUAUAGGGGAGCCAACGGUGAAAUACCACCCUUUAUUUAUCUGAUGUCUAAUCCGCAAGACCUGCGGAGACAGUGCGUGGUGGGUAGUUUGACUGGGGUGGUCGCCUCCGAAAGUGUAUCGGAGGCUUUCAAAGGUAUGCUCAAUACGCUUGGUAACCGUAUGUGGAGUGCAAUAGCAUAAGCAUGCUUGACUGUGAGACUGACAAGUCGAGCAGGGUCGAAAGACGGAUAUAGUGAUCCGGUGGUUCUGUAUGGAAGGGCCAUCGCUCAAAGGAUAAAAGGUACGCUGGGAUAACAGGCUGAUCUCCCCCAAGAGCUCACAUCGACGGGGAGGUUUGGCACCUCGAUGUCGGCUCGUCACAUCCUGGGGCUGGAGAAGGUCCCAAGGGUUAGGCUGUUCGCCUAUUAAAGUGGCACGCGAGCUGGGUUCAGAACGUCGUGAGACAGUUCGGUCCCUAUCUGUGGUGGGCGUAGGAAGUUUGAGAGGAUCUGACCUUAGUACGAGAGGACCGGGUUGGACCAACCGCUGGUGUACCGGUUGUGGCGUCAGCUGCAUCGCCGGGUAGCUACGUUGGGACGAGAUAAGCGCUGAAAGCAUCUAAGCGCGAAACUCACCUCAAGAUGAGACUUCCAUUAAGGGACGUCAGAGACUAUGACGUUGAUAGGCUGCAGGUGUAAAGGCAGAAAUGUCAAAGCUGAGCAGUACUAAUUACCCA
rnacentral:rRNA from 1 species